AUUGAACGCUGGCAGCAUGCCUUACACAUGCAAGUCGUACGGCAGCACGGGAGCAAUCCUGGUGGCGAGUGGCGAACGGGUGAGUAAUAUAUCGGAACGUGCCCAGUCGUGGGGGAUAACGCAGCGAAAGCUGUGCUAAUACCGCAUACGAUCUAUGGAUGAAAGCGGGGGAUCGCAAGACCUCGCGCGAUUGGAGCGGCCGAUAUCAGAUUAGCUAGUUGGUGAGGUAAAGGCUCACCAAGGCGACGAUCUGUAGCUGGUCUGAGAGGACGAACAGCCACACUGGAACUGAGACACGGUCCAGACUCCUACGGGAGGCAGCAGUGGGGAAUUUUGGACAAUGGGCGAAAGCCUGAUCCAGCAAUGCCGCGUGCAGGAUGAAGGCCUUCGGGUUGUAAACUGCUUUUGUACGGAACGAAACGGUGAGCUCUAAUACAGUUUGCUAAUGACGGUACCGUAAGAAUAAGCACCGGCUAACUACGUGCCAGCCGCCGCCGUAA
rnacentral:rRNA from 1 species